UCUUCCAUAUAUUUCCAGGUACAGUAAAUGGUCAAGAAUCUUUUGUUAAAGUUAAUUUGCUUAUGAACUGGACUGAAGCUCAGAGUUUCUGCAGGGAGAAUUAUGUUGAUCUACCCAGUAUACGAAAUCAGACAGAAAAUGACAAGGUCACGGUCACAGCAAAUGGAAGCUUUGUGUGGAUUGGUCUGUAUCGAGAAAAGGUGUGGUCUGAUGGGAGUGACUCUCUCUUUCGAUUCUGGGCCACUGGGCAACCAAACUCUGGAAAUGAGCAGUGUGUUGCUGCAGAUUUCAGUGACUCGGGACGAUGGUUGGAUGAAUUGUGCUCUAACAACUUUCCAUCCAUCUGUUUUACGACAAUAACGUUCAGUCUAACGGCACAAACUGAAACCAGCAUCACUCUGCAGUGGAAUAAAGUCAACAACAAUGUCAGCUUUGUUCUCCAGUUUAAUGGUACAGAGACAA